AUAGUGGCGAACGGGUGAGUAACGCGUAAGUAACCUACCUCUAAGUGGGGGAUAGCUUCGGGAAACUGAAGGUAAUACCGCAUGUGGUGGGCCGACAUAUGUUGGUUCACUAAAGCCGUAAGGCGCUUGGUGAGGGGCUUGCGUCCGAUUAGCUAGUUGGUGGGGUAAUGGCCUACCAAGGCUUCGAUCGGUAGCUGGUCUGAGAGGAUGAUCAGCCACACUGGGACUGAGACACGGCCCAGACUCCUACGGGAGGCAGCAGCAAGGAAUCUUGGGCAAUGGGCGAAAGCCUGACCCAGCAACGCCGCGUGAGGGAUGAAGGCUUUCGGGUUGUAAACCUCUUUUCAUAGGGAAGAAUAAUGACGGUACCUGUGGAAUAAGCUUCGGCUAACUACGUGCCAGCAGCCGCGGUAAUACGUAGGAAGCAAGCGUUAUCCGGAUUUAUUGGGCGUAAAGUGAGCGUAGGUGGUCUUUCAAGUUGGAUGUGAAAUUUCCCGGCUUAACCGGGACGAGUCAUUCAAUACUGUUGGACUAGAGUACAGCAGGAGAAAACGGAAUUCCCGGUGUAGUGGUAAAAUGCGUAGAUAUCGGGAGGAACACCAGAGGCGAAGGCGGUUUUCUAGGUUGUCACUGACACUGAGGCUCG
rnacentral:rRNA from 1 species